GGGUCUUUAGCUCAGCAGUAGAGCGGCAGACUUCGGUUAAUGAAGGUCCUGUCAUUAGGCAUUCUGCAGGUCGCGGGUUCAAUCCCCGUAGGACUCU
rnacentral:tRNA from 1 species